UAUGGCCACAUCUCUUUGGAACACCGGUUCACGUACGAUCGCAGAAGUUAAGCAAAGUCGAGACUGGCUAGUAUCUAGAUGGUUGACCAUGUGGGGAUACUAGGUGCUGUAA